AUUUGUUUUGGCAAAAACAAAAGAAACCCACCAGCCUGCUUGGCUUGCUUUGUAUUGUGAUGAUCUGCCAUACAAAGAAAAGCGCAACUCAAGCUCAAGCUAAGCUAAUUGCCAGUCAGCUUCACUUGUUAGCUCUUGAGGAUGGCAAAGAUCAUCUAGUUUCCAUGGAUUGUAGUUCGAACAGGCUCAAUCUGUUUACUGCUCAAACACUUUAGAAUGCAAAGCGGCUCUUCAUUAUACAAUUCAACUUCAAUAUGAAACCUACCAUUGAUCUUGAAGUGGAGGCCUUCUCUGAAAAUGAUUCCGAGGUCAACAGCCAAGUAGCUUCCAACUUAUCCAUCCAUGAAAAUUCUGCAGGUCCCUCCAAUGAAAGCCUCACUAACUGUUCCAAUCUCACAAAUGCCAUAGCUGCUACUUCCGUUUCAGAACCAGUUUCCCUAGAUUUAACCCUUUGUUUCAAUGAUGAUGAAUUAGAGAAAAGAGGGUCAAUGGGACUCUCUUUGUCAAGCACUGGCGAGAGUAGCAAUGAACCUGUAACUCGUACAGCUGCAGCAGCCAUGCCACGAGUUUUUUCGUGCAAUUAUUGUCGGCGGAAAUUCUUCAGCUCACAGGCACUUGGUGGUCACCAGAAUGCACAUAAGAGGGAGAGAACAAUAGCAAAGCGGGCAAUGAGGAUGGGCAUUUUUUCUGAAAGGCAUGUCAGCCUGGCAUCUCUGCCUUUACAUGGAUCUUCAUUUAGGUCCCUGGGAAUCAAAGCACACUCUUCAGUACAUCAGGAUAUUUCACCACCAGUAAGGCCACAAGAUAACAGAAAUACUGCAAGAUUUGAUCAGGGGUACUUUGGGUUGCCAAUAUUCGUGGACGAUGAUGAGGCAGAGCUGUUAUGGCCAGGUAGUUUCCGCCAGGUAGCUGAGGCAGAUGAUACACAUCAAAGUUUUGUACUCACAGGAAAUUCAAAUGUGAAUUUUUUAGGGGAAACUCCAUCAGCAGACUCAGGCAAUUCCAUGCCAGACCUCACAUUGAAACUUUGAGUCCUUCAGGAGGAGUCAGGACUGGCUUCAGUCUGUCAGCUUUAAUAUUCUCUCCUUGUAUAGCAAUAUGUACUUGAGCAAUGGCUUAGCAUUUAUUCUUACGCGUACUUUCUUAUCUGAUUUUCACUUUGGUUUUGUAUGUUAGUGUAUAAGAGCUUCACAAGGAUUAUUUGGGAGCUUCAAUGCUUGUUAAGCUCUUAUACACUAACAUACAAAACCAAAGUGAAAAUCAGAUAAGAAAGUACGCGUAAGAAUAAAUGCUAAGCCAUUGCUCAAGUACAUAUUGCUAUACAAGGAGAGAAUAUUAAAGCUGACAGACUGAAGCCAGUCCUGACUCCUCCUGAAGGACUCAAAGUUUCAAUGUGAGGUCU
rnacentral:misc_RNA from 1 species